ACUUUGCUGACGAGUGCGAAGUAGCACGAAACUCGGGUCCAAGGU
rnacentral:hammerhead_ribozyme from 1 species